UGGGGAAUAUUGCACAAUGGGCGCAAGCCUGAUGCAGCCAUGCCGCGUGUAUGAAGAAGGCCUUCGGGUUGUAAAGUACUUUCAGCGGGGAGGAAGGGAGUAAAGUUAAUACCUUUGCUCAUUGACGUUACCCGCAGAAGAAGCACCGGCUAACUCCGUGCUAGCAGCCGCGGUAAUACGGAGGGUGCAAGCGUUAAUCGGAAUUACUGGGCGUAAAGCGCACGCAGGCGGUUUGUUAAGUCAGAAGUGAAAUCCCCGGGCUCAACCUGGAAACUGCAUCUAAUACUGGCAAGCUUGAGUCUCGUAGAGUGAAGUAGAAUUCCAGGUGUAACGGUGAACAGCGUAGAAAUCUGGAGGAAUACCGGUGGCGAAGGCGACCCCCAGGACGAAGACUGACGCUCAGGUGCGAAAACGUGGGGAGCAAACAGG
rnacentral:rRNA from 1 species